rnacentral:lncRNA from 1 species
AUGGGUCAGGCUGUCUCCCCUGAGCCGGGGAUGUACCUGCAGAGCUGUGGGUGAGGAGCAGCUGGGAGAAUCCUCCUGUCUUGGGCCUCCAUCCCUCUGUUCUUGGGAGCCGUGUCCAUCCUCAGGGAUGCGGGAUGUGCCCGCGAAGCGUGACUUGGAUUUCCACUGCAGUGAAAAUGGAGAAUAAACCACCGGUGCAAUCCAGGAGCAACAGGAAGGAAAGUGACAUCUGAGCAGUCCCCAGGCUGUCCUCCUCUGCCUGAAAUAACUCCUGUAGCAGAGCAGAGCCUGGAGGUAUCUUGGAUCCUGUUGGGCAUCCAAGGGAUGCUGAAAAACUGGUUGCUGCUGGAGGAAGAGCAUCUGAGGGGCAGUGACACAUGGCCUGAGCUGCAGGAUGGGCUCCCAGCAACCUGGAUUUUGAAGGAGCCCCCUCCCUGCUCACUGCACAGCAAUAGCUCCUGCUAGCACGUCCCAGGAGCAGCAAAAAAUGGCUCAGGCUUGUGUGGAAAUGGAAGAAUGAAGUGAGAGUUCAUUUUUCCUCUCUCUCCCAACCAGGAGAUUCAUGAGGUGGCUGGCAUGAGGGAACUGGUGGAACGUGUUCCCUCCUGCCCUGCAAUGUUGAUCCCUGGCACUGUGAGGAUUAGCAAGUGGUCAAAAGCAUCAGGAGGUGACCUUGCUCUGCCAUAAGAUCCCUCCCUCGUGGGCCUGGGCUGCCCAGGGAAAGCUGGCAGCACCCUGUGGACUGGUUUUAUAACAUCAAGAAGAAUGGAAAAGCUGCAAGGCAUGCACACUCAAGACGCUGCGCUCCUGGAAAGUUCUGGAUGGGCUCCAGGCAAUGUUUGGUGGCUAAGAAGGAUGAAGGUCUUGGAAAGAAGAGGAAACAAUCAGCCAAGCCCUCAUCCUGCAAUAUUCCUGUUUCUGUGAGCUGGGAAUGCCAUUGGAGCAUGGGAAGGACAGAAAAAUGCGUUCCUGCAACGUCACGUGUCUGAGGGGCGCCCUGGUGAUAACCUGGAUAAUACAAUCUGAUUUUGGCCUUGAGUCUGUUCCCUUGGAUUAUCGCAUUUCUUCAAGGACCAAAAGCUGUGCUGGUGAUUCAGACCCAAAGGAGAAUGUCUUUUUUAGUGGUAAGCUUUCAGGUUUUGGUUUUUUUUUUUUAUUUUGUUUUCUUUCCCCCAGCCAUCAAAGGC